UCCGAGUUGACCCCGGCAGUCUCCUAUGAGUCCCCGCCAUAACGCGCUGGCAACAUAGAACGAGGGUUGCGCUCGUUGCGGGACUUAACCCAACAUCUCACGACACGAGCUGACGACAACCAUGCACCACCUGUAAACCGACCGCAAGCGGGGCACCUGUUUCCAGGCGUUUCCGGUUCAUGUCAAGCCUUGGUAAGGUUCUUCGCGUUGCAUCGAAUUAAUCCGCAUGCUCCGCCGCUUGUGCGGGCCCCCGUCAAUUCCUUUGAGUUUUAGCCUUGCGGCCGUACUCCCCAGGCGGGGCACUUAAUGCGUUAGCUACGGCACGGAACCCGUUGGAGGGGCCCCACACCUAGUGCCCAACGUUUACGGCGUGGACUAC
rnacentral:misc_RNA from 1 species